ensembl:snRNA U6 U6 spliceosomal RNA
GCUCACUUUGGCAGGGCGUGUACUAAAACUGGAAGGAUAUGGAGAUUAGCAUGGGCUCUGUGAAGGAUGACACACAAAUUUGCAAAACAUUCUAUAUUUUU